rnacentral:ncRNA from 1 species
UUGCACCUUGGUGCAGUCAGUAAGACCGUCCCAACUUCAUAUACAUAUAUAUGUACUUAUGUACUUCAUGCAUUACUGCUAGUCCCCAUGGAUAAUAAAUA